rnacentral:rRNA from 1 species
CACGUAGGGCGCAAGCGUUGUCCGGAUUUAUUGGGCGUAAAGAGCUCGUAGGCGGCUUGUCGCGUCGAAUGUGAAAACUCGGGGCUCAACCCCGCGCUUGCAUUCGAUACGGGCAGGCUCGAGUUCGGUAGGGGAGACUGGAAUUCCUGGUGUAGCGGUGAAAUGCGCAGAUAUCAGGAGGAACACCGGUGGCGAAGGCGGGUCUCUGGGCCGAUACUGACGCUGAGGAGCGAAAGCGUGGGGAGCGAACAGG